GAAAGUCAGAAAGAUGUGUAUGCUUAUCCAUAAGUCUAGACUGACAUAGGAGACGACUUCACUGAAGCGAUUGACGAUGCUUAUCGAUUGUGACUACCGGUUCACGAAGCAACAUAUCGUAUGUACAUAACCUGCUUGUUCUUCUUACAUAAAGCAUGAUAUAUAUAAACUGGAGCUCCAUCGUAAAACUACCCAUGUUUCGCAUAUCAGAAUAUCAAGUGUCAAAUCUCACCUGUCAAUAUUUGCAAAUUUUAUAGGCAUGUACACACUACAAAUACACAGAUUGUAGAUGGAUACGUGUGUUUAUCUUCCCCUCGUCUCAUUGACUGGAUUGCAUAUGAUAUAUGCCAUAUAAAGUCGUCGUCGUAUACAACAUGCACACACAAACAAGGACACUUUCCAUGCAAAUCCUUUGCCAAUUGCCAAUUACAUACAUAUCUAACACGGUUCUGAAGUGUCGCAUCCAAUCCGUCGUUCGUUGCUGUGUAUUUGACUUGCUUCAAAUAAACUGUAACAACGAAAUGAAACAUCACCCACAAGUCAAGUGUUGAAGGAGGAAAUGAUAUCGGUUGAACUACAAACACAACAAGUAAUCAAUAUUGGCUGCAAAUAAAGGAAGGAUUUUACGCUCACUGGUUCAAGAAGACAGAGAGGUUUCGCAUCGUCGAGUCCUCAGAAGAGUACUACGUACAUAUUUUAGAUCUGAUAUGAUGACGAAUCUGCACCAUUAUUUCUGAACUCAUCGCCUCUUCUGACGUUAAGGAUUUUCUUCAGAAGGAGAGCACGAUAACAAAGGGCUACAGGGAAACAAAGUAAUUUGGAACAUUUCAGGAUUCCAGUCAUAUCACUCGAUAAUUGGGGGAGAUGGAGCUUGAACGAAGCGAAAGGUUGUUACAGCACUUGCCCCAGAUUCGAGAGAUGGUCGACUAUUUGGAAGUGAGUGGAACUUUGUUGACUUCCGGAAUCAUUAGUUCAACUGACCACCGCACUUUCUUGGGGGUGGUCAGUUCGGCCGGAAAUUCGAGUGGAAUUCAGGAACUCGUGCAAGUUUUGAGACUCCGGCGGAAUGGUUUUACAGCGUUUGUAAGCGCACUUCGGGCCAAUGACUACACCUGGCUGGCAGAAAAACUUGAUCCCGAACCAUUUACCACCACUAAAGCAGAAGAACCACCGACUCGACGAAGAAUUAGUGGACUCUUAAAAAGAUCCCGGAGUCGAAACAGUGAAUCAUCCCGACUGAGUGGGGAGACCGUAUUCACGACGUACCGACAAAGCUUUCCCAUGGAUUUAUCCGCCUCUUCUCGCAGUUUAAACCAAUGUCACACCACUCUGACCAAAUCCUUUGACAGUCUGAACCUACAAGGAGACCGAGAAAGUAUGGCGUCAUCAUCAUCAUCCUCCAAGAGAAAAAACUCUAUCGCAUCCGCCCUACUUCUCAACGUCCCAGCAGAAGCAUCGAGUCUCCCGGAUGCUGAAAUUGUCUCCAAAAUCGCAGCAGAGUUUAACUUCUUCUCCCUCCCGGAGUCUUUAGCCAGUUUGAAACGAAUCAACAUUGCCAGCAAGUCCCCACAGAGUAAGAAGAAGCUCAAGAAGAAGGAGAAACUCGCUGCUGCCCAUUUAACUGGUGGCUGUAAGAGUGUAAACCUAAAAAUAAAAUUCAAAACGAAGGAUGCCCGAGACCGAUUUGUGGCCGGGGUCAACUCCUCCUCCAUCUUUUCUGAUCUGGGGGGAAUUAAAGGAGUUCCACUGGAUUCGAAGAAGGGCGACAAAGCAAAUUCCACCACCACCACCGGAGGAUCAUGGUUUAGCAAACUUUUAAAAAGAUGAUAACACAUACGACGUGUCCUUUCCCCCAUUUUUUGCUGAUUUAAAUUGUGACGGAAAUACAUACUGGCAUUUUUCUUCCAUUGAUCCCGCUUCAAAAGUCUGCGUGAAAAAUAAGAAAUGACGAAGGAUAACCUCGUCUGAACAGACUCGGUUCUGUUCUGUCAGUAGUUACGUUUCGCUACGUGGUCGGGUGCAAAGUUGUUCUCCAUUUGGCCGCCGUCUGUUGAGUUGAGGGACAGCAGAAUAAAGUACCUACUGGAAGAUUAUUAUACCGAAGAGAUGGAGAAUUAUUCCCACUAAAAUGAACCUCCCUGCUGAAUUCGAAAUCAUUAUUGCCCUUAUUUAUUACUUAUGUAUGUGCCUGGGUUCCUUGGAAUUUGCAAUUUGUAUGUCCUCCCACAGAAUUUGGGGAAGGAGGCAAAUUUCCGAUCUGAUCUGAUCGGACGCUUGUUGGAAAUCUGGGAAGGAAGAAGACAAAACAAGGGUUGGAUUUGUGUAUACAGAGAAAAAGAGAGGACAAGGAUAAGACGAUGAUGAUGGGAUGGAUGACCAAGAUCAAAUUGAAAUUCAGGCUGCGACCCUGUGAUUUACCUCUUUAUAUAAUGGCUGGGUAUGCCAUGGGCAAUGAUGACAAAUACAUAAAUAAGACAAAGGAGGCAUGGAAUGGAGCUCUGGAAAGUUGAUGAGGAAGGAUGAAGCUUGUUUAUAUCUUUUUUAGGCGAAUUUUACGAUAUAUUUUAAGAUCAAUGUAUAAAAUACUUUAUGAAAUAAAUGAAAUUAAAGCUAAAUGAGAAAAUAAUAAAUAUUGGAUAAAAGUUCUCUAUGA